GAUUUCUGGUUUGGCGCAUUUGGCCCGCCUCGGUUUACGGGGUUGUGUGCCGGUUUGCGCCUUCCAUCCUUCAUAUGAACAGUUCUGCCCUUCACUGGGUUGGAAUUGCUGAUUAUGAUCUUUUACUUUGAAAAAAUUAGAGUGUUUCAAGCAGGCUUUAUGCUAUGAAUACAUUAGCAUGGAAUAAUAAUUUAGGACUUCGGUUCUAUUUUGUUGGUUUCUAGGACUGAAGUAAUGAUUGAUAGGGAUAGUUGGGGGUGCUAGUAUUCAGCGGCCAGAGGUGAAAUUCUCGGAUUCGCUGAAGACUAACUUAUGCGAAAGCAUU
rnacentral:rRNA from 1 species